rnacentral:tRNA from 1 species
UCCCGUGUGGCUCAGUUGGUAGAGCAUGGUGUUUGCAACGCCAGGGUUGUGGGUUGUUCGAUUCCCACGGGGG